rnacentral:rRNA from 1 species
CAAUAGCGUAUAUUAAAGUUGUUGCAGUUAGAACGCUCGUAGUCGGAUUUCGGGGCGGGCCGACCGGUCUGCCGAUGGGUAUGCACUGGUCGGCGCGUCCUUCCUUCCGGAGACCGUCCCUACUCUUAACUGAGCGGGGGCGGGGGACGGGACUUUUACUUUGAAAAAAUCAGAGUGUUUCAAGCAGGCAGCUCGCUCUUGCAUGGAUUAGCAUGGGAUAAUGAAAUAGGACUUUGGUGCUAUUUUGUUGGUUUCGAACACCGAAGUAAUGAUGAGAAGGGACAGUCAGGGGCACUCGUAUUCCGCCGAGAGAGGUGAAAUUCUCAGACCAGCGGAAGACGAACCACUGCGAAAGCAUUUGCCAGGGAUGUUUUCACUGA